rnacentral:ncRNA from 1 species
UAUCUGGUUGAUCCUGCCAGUAGUCAUAUGCUUGUCUCAAAGAUUAAGCCAUGCAUGUCUAAGUAUAAGCAAUUUAUACAGUGAAACUGCGAAUGGCUCAUUAAAUCAGUUAUCGUUUAUUUGAUAGUUUCUUUACUACAUGGAAUACCUGUGGUAAUUCUAGAGCUAAUACAUGCUUAAAAUCCCAACUUACGAAGGGAUGUAUUUAUUAGAUAAAAAAUCAAUGUCUUCGGACUUCUGAUGAUUCAUAAUAACUUUUCGAAUCGCAUGGCUUUAUGCUGGCGAUGGUUCAUUCAAAUUUCUGCCCUAUCAACUUUUGAUGGUAGGAUAGUGGCCUACCAUGGUUUCAACGGGUAACGGGGAAUAAGGGUUCGAUUCCGGAGAGGGAGCCUGAGAAACGGCUACCACAUCCAAGGAAGGCAGCAGGCGCGCAAAUUACCCAAUCCUAAUUCAGGGAGGUAGUGACAAUAAAUAACGAUACAGGGCUUUAUGUCUUGUAAUUGGAAUGAGUACAAUUUAAAUACCUUAACGAGGAACAAUUGGAGGGCAAGUCUGGUGCCAGCAGCCGCGGUAAUUCCAGCUCCAAUAGCGUAUAUUAAAGUUGUUGCAGUUAAAAAGCUCGUAGUUGAACUUUGGGCUUGGAGAAUCGGUCCAACUUUGUUGUGUACUGUCUUCUCCAGGUCUUUCCUUCUGGUUCUCAUUUGGGGUUUACUCCAUUUGUUGAUCCAGGUAUUUUUACUUUGAAAAAAUUAGAGUGUUCAAAGCAGGCGUUUUGCUCGAAUAUAUUAGCAUGGAAUAAUAGAAUAGGACGAUUGGUUCUAUUUUGUUGGUUUCUAGGACCAUCGUAAUGAUUAAUAGGGACGGUCGGGGGCAUCAGUAUUCAGUUGUCAGAGGUGAAAUUCUUGGAUUUACUGAAGACUAACUACUGCGAAAGCAUUUGUCAAGGACGUUUUCAUUAAUCAAGAACGAAAGUUAGGGGAUCGAAGAUGAUCAGAUACCGUCGUAGUCUUAACCAUAAACUAUGCCGACUAGGGAUCGGGCGGUGCCUUUUAUUGGCCCACUCGGCACCUUACGAGAAAUCAAAGUUUUUGGGUU